UCAUUAAUCUGCUUCUGCUGACUUCUCUCCUUCAUUACUGCAGUAAAAUAUUUGGUGUUGGAGUCCCCCAGUUGUAUCCACUUUGCUCUUGCCUUCUGUUGCAGGACACUCUCCUCAAUCAAAGACCAUUUUUCCAGUUGCAAUAUCAGUUCCUUCUCCUUCUGUUGUAGUGCAUCAUUGUAGGCUUGAGUCAAUUGCUUUUGUAUGAUUCCCA
rnacentral:lncRNA from 1 species